rnacentral:rRNA from 1 species
UCGAGGAUCUUCGGCAAUGGGCGCAAGCCUGACCGAGCGACGCCGCGUGAGCGAUGAAGGCCUUCGGGUUGUAAAGCUCUUUAGUGGGGGAGAAAAGCCCGCAAGGGUGUGAUCUAUCCCAAAAAUAAGCACGGGCUAAGUUCGUGCCAGCAGCCGCGGUAAGACGAACCGUGCGAACGUUGUUCGGAAUCACUGGGCUUAAAGGGCGCGUAGGCGGGCUGUCAAGUCUGGGGUGAAAUGCCACGGCUCAACCGUGGAACUGCCUCAGAUACUGACGGCCUCGAGGGAGGUAGGGGCAUGCGGAACUGUAGGUGGAGCGGUGAAAUGCGUUGAUAUCUACAGGAACUCCGGUGGCGAAAGCGGCGUGCUGGACCUCUUCUGACGCUGAGGCGCGAAAGCUAGGGGAGCAAACG